rnacentral:rRNA from 1 species
AGCUUAAAGCAUUUAUUUUAGGUGAAGCCUGCCCAGUGCGCUUAUUUGUCAACGGCCGCAGUAUUUUGACUGUGCUAAGGUAGCAAAAUAAUUUGGCUUUUAAAUGGAGUCGGGAAUGAAUGGAUUAAUGGGGUUAAGCUGUCUCUCCCAUAUUCUUUUGAAUUUACUUAUUAGGUGAAAAUGCCUAUUAUUAGAAAAAAGACGAGAAGACCCUAGGAGUUUUUACGAUUUACUAUUCCUAUAGUAUGAGUUUUUGUUGGGGCGACAUAGGGGCAAUAUAUGAUUUAAACCCCCUUUAUUAAAUUUGCCGACUUUGUAUGGGAGAUUAAACUACCCUAGGGAUAACAGCGUAAUUUUUUAUAAGCUUGCGACCUCGAUGUUGGACUAGGAAUUUGGUAGGUUAGCCGCCUAUUUAAAAGGUUCUGUUCGAACAAUGCCUCC